rnacentral:rRNA from 1 species
CCUACGGGAGGCAGCAGUGAGGAAUAUUGGUCAAUGGGCGAGAGCCUGAACCAGCCAAGUCGCGUGAAGGAUGACGGCCCUACGGGUUGUAAACUUCUUUUGUCAGGGAGCAAUUGGGUCCACGCGUGGGCUUAGCGAGAGUACCUGAAGAAAAAGCAUCGGCUAACUCCGUGCCAGCAGCCGCGGUAAUACGGAGGAUGCGAGCGUUAUCCGGAUUUAUUGGGUUUAAAGGGAGCGUAGAUGGGUUGUUAAGUCAGUUGUGAAAGUUUGCGGCUCAACCGUAAAAUUGCAAUUGAUACUGGCAGUCUUGAGUACAGUUGAGGUAGGCGGAAUUCGUGGUGUAGCGGUGAAAUGCUUAGAUAUCACGAAGAACCCCGAUUGCGAAGGCAGCUUACUAAACUGUGACUGACAUUGAUGCUCGAAAGUGUGGGUAUCAAACAGGAUUAGAUACCCCAGUAGUC